rnacentral:rRNA from 1 species
UACGGGGGGGGCUAGCGUUGUUCGGAAUUACUGGGCGUAAAGCGUGCGUAGGCGGUUGUGCAAGACCGGUGUGAAAUCCCCGGGCUUAACCUGGGAAUGGCAUUGGUGACUGUACGGCUAGAGUGUGUCAGAGGGGGGUAGAAUUCCACGUGUAGCAGUGAAAUGCGUAGAGAUGUGGAGGAAUACCGAUGGCGAAGGCAGCCCCCUGGGAUAACACUGACGCUCAUGCACGAAAGCGUGGGGAGCAAACAGG